GCAGUUUUAUGCCCAAAUGCGCAAAUAGGUUAAGCAAAAACAAUACACAGAUUACAGACGCAAUCGACUAAGCGGGAAGCGAAAUCAGAUUUUUUCUGGGGAGAAGAGAUGGACGCUUUGGUUCCUUCAUCCUCGACAUUUGGAAUCAGAAAUCCAUGCUGCACCAAUUAUUGUUAUUGCGGGUCAUUAAGACAAAAACGGUAUUCUUUGAUCUUAUGAUCUUUUUCUUAUUAGUUGAUUGCUUAAAGACUUGAAUCCGGAGAAGUCAUUCAGAAGAAAUCACUCGACCAUCAAUACACAUUCACUCGAUUUCUGGUUUUUUCUUCUUAGUUCUUUCGUCAUAAAUCACAAGAAAAUACUCAAUACUAAUAACCCAAAUGAAAUACAUCAGCAACAAUCUUCUUUCGCUCAAUUGCUUCCUAUUUCAGUGCAUCACAAGUAAAUUGAAAGGGGAACAGAUGUUUGAAAGUCAUAAUCUGAGCAUACGGAAGAAAACCAAAAGACAGUAGCAUUGAAACAAGUCAAACAACAAUAUAUUGAUUUGACUGUCAAUCGGGCUUUCUAAUAUCUUGGUUGUCUUGAUUCUUGAAGUGUUGAAAAUCAGAAGCCAGAAGUUUAUUUCAAUGCAUAUUAAAUGGAUGACUGUUUGCUUGUUUGCAAGUAGAAAGAUGGUUGUUUUCAAGUAGAAACAAAAUUUAUUUCAACAAAUACUAGAAGGGUGAUUGUUUUCAAGUUGAAGCAAUUUUGUUUUUUGUAUUAAUUUGAAUGGAAACUUAAUUUUGUGUAUUUUGCAGGAGAAAAUGAAAAGUUAGUUUUGCUUAA